GGAGUCUGGGCCGUGUCUCAGUCCCAAUGUGGCCGGUCAUCCUCUCAGAUCGGCUACCGAUCGUCGCCUUGGUGAGCCGUUACCUCACCAACUAGCUAAUCGGACGCAGACCCAUCAUAAUGCGAUAGCUUAUAAAUAGAGGCCAUCUUUAACUAAACCUCCAUGCGAAAGUUUAGCAACAUUCGGUAUUAGCAGCUCUUUCGAGCUGUUGUCCCCAUCAUUAUGGCAGGUUGUCUACGCGUUACUCACCCGUUUGCCACUAGAAUUUUGGAGCAAGCCCCAAAAUUCCCGUUCGACUUGCAUGUGUUAGGCACGCCGCCAGCGUUCACUCCUGAGCCACGGAUCAAACUCU
rnacentral:rRNA from 1 species